GACGAAGAACGUAGCGAAAUGCGAUAAGUAAUGUGAAUUGCAGAAUUCAGUGAAUCAUCGAAUCUUUGAACGCACAUUGCGCCCGCCAGUAUUCUGGCGGGCAUGCCUGUUCGAGCGUCAUUACAACCCUCAGGCCCCCGGGCCUGGCGUUGGGGAUCGGCGGAGCCCCCCGUGGGCACACGCCGUCCCCCAAAUGCAGUGGCGGUCCCGCCGCAGCUUCCAUCGCGUAGUAGCUAACACCUCGCGACUGGAGAGCGGCGCGGCCACGCCGUAAAACACCCAACUCUUCUGAAGUUGACCUCGAAUCAGGUAGGAAUACCCGCUGAACUUAAGCAUAUCAAUAAGCGGAGGA
rnacentral:misc_RNA from 1 species